UUGGACCUGAUAUCAGGCAAGACC
rnacentral:rRNA from 1 species